rnacentral:tRNA from 3 species
GAGCCAUUAGCUCAGUCGGUAGAGCACCUGACUUUUAAUCAGGGUGUCCCGCGUUCGAGCCGCGGAUGGCUCACCA